rfam:Capsicum annuum cultivar Zunla-1 unplaced genomic scaffold scaffold2343, whole genome shotgun sequence
AUAAAAGUGAUGAAUAUUUCCCAGAUGAUCGAAGCUAAAAUUACUAAGCAAUUUUUACGAAUUUUAUCCUUAUAGGGGAAAAUCCAAGCCACAUUUUCAUUAUAU